AUAAAGACAUACCCAAGAAUGGGUAAUUUAGAAAGAAAAAGAGGUUUAAUGGGCUCCCAGUUCCAAGUGGCAGGGAAGCUUCACAAUAAUGGCGGAAGGCAAGGAGGAGCAA